ensembl:lncRNA
CUCUACCAAACCUCGGCUUCCACCUGGGAAACAACUAGAAACGACGGAUAAUUCAAGACCCACCUACUCCAAGCCUUCUCAACCAAGUUUUUUUUCAUCAAAAGACCAAGAACUCAUCAAAAGACCAAGAACUCUACAACCAGCCCCUGAUCUUCAGAUAUACAUCACCUCCUCUAUUUUUUUCUUGGAGGCAACCCCCACCCCCUUUUUUUCACCUAAGAACAAGACAUCACCACUCUGACACAGUGGAAACAGACUCCUACCACAGAAACUCUGACAACCGUAUUUCCAACUCAGGAGCAAAAAGAAACAAAAUUAUAAAAUAGGUCCACCCCACUCACACCUCUGCACCAUACACAAACAAACUAAAUACCCAGGUAAGACACCCACCCACACUACAAGCCUCAACCAGGAUUGCCUGUUAAACUGUACAUCACAGGUACAUACAUGGGACAACAAAAAAGGCGCAUUUCCAGGAAUCCAAGUGGACAGGAACGCGAUCAAAGCUAUACCUCUCUUAUAAGCGCUAACUAAAAAGUUAUAAACAGCACCUUCUCGACCCCAGGAAAAAGGAACACCCCCCUAGUAACCCUACUUGCAACUAUCCCUCAAUAAAGAAACAAAGUUUAAGCCCUCUAACACCACAAAAAAGACCAAAGAACCACGGCUACUACUCUCCCCUGCACAUCGCACCGUACUACAUAUGAGUAAACAUGACUCAACAAAAAUCGGAGGAAAAAAGAACUCAACUACAUUCAAAGACCUAUAACCAGACCUAUGGGCCACCUAGAACCCAAACUAAAAAUUCUACAGCAACCCACAGAUGUCCACUCUACCCUCUACCUUUCCUGGACCAACAGAACCAUACCUUCGGGUAUUCCCAACCCAAAAACCCAUACCAGAGCAGACCGCUCCCAACGCUAACACACAAGUCAAUGGUGACACGAAGGUCAAACACACACUUUUCACAGGAGGAUCUAACAUACUUCUACAAAUCACAGGAACUCCACGUAUGGCUCCUCUUGACCCCUAGGACUUCUAGUCUUACUUUAAAUUCACCUGGUACCUCUCGGACACCCACAACCAAAACAGCACCCCAAAAGCAAAGUGUCUAUUUCUCCUAUACAAUUCCCCAUAGGAAUCAACGACGGAGGCCUUCUCAUCACAUAACAGACUAUCUGACGCCUCUCCCCAAAAACCAAGCAAUCUCAUUGGACCAGCCACGGUCGUGUUCUUCACGUGAACAACGCAUGCACACCUCAUGCACCAAUAGGAUUCGACACCUGGCUAAACCACACCCCCCUCAUUUCCCAUAAAAGAAGAGCAUCCCUCAGCUUCAGUACCAUUCUACCUGAACACCCUUGGAAGACACUUCACUUGGAGAAGACACAAGCUGGACCUCUACCUAAAGAACUGCACCCAGGAUGACCACUCCAACUGGAGGACCAGACCCCAGCUCCAUGCUGCACCAUGGACACACCUCACCUGGACCAAGCCACCAACUGGUACUCCACACUCCCCAAGAAUAUCCCUCUACUCCUCCUGAACAAAAGACCCCUAAAUAGCUUCAUGCUACACCCCGAAUCGGGACCACUCGGAGCCGUCUUCAAAUCCUUGCGAUUUCUCCCCUAAAAUCUAGGUACCCCUACAUCACGGAAACCAUCCUCCAGAGAAUCAACGCCCUUUUUGGCAUUUUUUCUUCAACGGACCUUCUAGACCUCCAGAUCAUCGAGCCUCAACCACACAUAUACCUACACACACACCCUAUUUUCUCUGGUCCAAAAUACGGCCUUUUUACCGUACUACGACCAGGUGAACCUAUUUUUUGCACCUUUCCUCUCUCCUCCCUGCCACCUGAUGAAGCCGAGUAAGGCAGAAACGCGUCGUGGCUGGGCUGCCCCUAGAUCCGUGUGAUGCCGUAAGGAAGGCGGGUUCCACACGGACUUCGGGGGCAUCUCCUUUUGGCUACCUUUUUUCAUUUGUACUUUUCUCUUACCCUUAUUUUGAGUUUUACACAGGGACACACUACUACGGAUGAUCUACGAGACAACAAGGACUCCGGGCACUCUGAUGGCAUCUCAGACCCCCUACUCUACCUACAAACCGGGCCCACAAAUUUCGACGGGGCAUUGAUAAUCACUUAGACCCUCUACACCUUUUAAGAAGAGACGCUCAGAGGGG